rnacentral:rRNA from 1 species
UACAUGGGGUGCAAACGUUGCUCGGAAUCACUGGGCGUAAAGCGCACGUAGGCGGAUUGUUAAGUCAGGGGUGAAAUCCUGGAGCUCAACUCCAGAACUGCCUUUGAUACUGGCGAUCUCGAGUUCGGGAGAGGUGAGUGGAACUGCGAGUGUAGAGGUGAAAUUCGUAGAUAUUCGCAAGAACACCAGUGGCGAAGGCGGCUCACUGGCCCGAUACUGACGCUGAGGUGCGAAAGCGUGGGGAGCAAACAGG